UACGUAGGCAGCGAGCGUUGUUCGGAGUUACUGGGCGUAAAGGGUGUGUAGGCGGUUCUUUUAAGUUUGGUGUGAAAUCUCCCGCUCAACCGGGAGGGUGCGCCGAAUACUGAGGGACUAGAGUAUGGGAUGGGAAAGUGGAAUUCCUGGUGUAGCGGUGAAAUGCGUAGAUAUCAGGAGGAACACCAAUUGCGAAGGCAGCUCGCUGGGCGUACUGACGCUGAGAGCGACGAAGCGUGGGGAGCAAACAGGAUUAGAACCUUACGGUAGUCAG
rnacentral:rRNA from 1 species